rnacentral:rRNA from 1 species
CUUGCUACUGAUCUUAGCGGCGGACGGGUGAGUAAUGCUUAGGAAUCUGCCUAUUAGUGGGGGACAACAUUUCGAAAGGAAUGCUAAUACCGCAUACGUCCUACGGGAGAAAGCAGGGGAUCUUCGGACCUUGCGCUAAUAGAUGAGCCUAAGUCGGAUUAGCUAGUUGGUGGGGUAAAGGCCUACCAAGGCGACGAUCUGUAGCGGGUCUGAGAGGAUGAUCCGCCACACUGGGACUGAGACACGGCCCAGAUCCUACGGGAGGCAGCAGUGGGGAAUAUUGGACAAUGGGCGCAAGCCUGAUCCAGCCAUGCCGCGUGUGUGAAGAAGGCCUUAUGGUUGUAAAGCACUUUAAGCGAGGAGGAGGCUACUUUAGUUAAUACCUAGAGAUAGUGGACGUUACUCGCAGAAUAAGCACCGGCUAACUCUGUGCCAGCAGCCGCGGUAAUACAGAGGGUGCAAGCGUUAAUCGGAUUUACUGGGCGUAAAGCGCGCGUAGGCGGCUAAUUAAGUCAAAUGUGAAAUCCCCGAGCUUAACUUGGGAAUUGCAUUCGAUACUGGUUAGCUAGAGUGUGGGAGAGGAUGGUAGAAUUCCAGGUGUAGCGGUGAAAUGCGUAGAGAUCUGGAGGAAUACCGAUGGCGAAGGCAGCCAUCUGGCCUAACACUGACGCUGAGGUGCGAAAGCAUGGGGAGCAAACAGGAUUAGAUACCCUGGUAGUCCAUGCCGUAAACGAUGUCUACUAGCCGUUGGGGCCUUUGAGGCUUUAGUGGCGCAGCUAACGCGAUAAGUAGACCGCCUGGGGAGUACGGUCGCAAGACUAAAACUCAAAUGAAUUGACGGGGGCCCGCACAAGCGGUGGAGCAUGUGGUUUAAUUCGAUGCAACGCGAAGAACCUUACCUGGCCUUGACAUAGUAAGAACUUUCCAGAGAUGGAUUGGUGCCUUCGGGAACUUACAUACAGGUGCUGCAUGGCUGUCGUCAGCUCGUGUCGUGAGAUGUUGGGUUAAGUCCCGCAACGAGCGCAACCCUUUUCCUUAUUUGCCAGCGAGUAAUGUCGGGAACUUUAAGGAUACUGCCAGUGACAAACUGGAGGAAGGCGGGGACGACGUCAAGUCAUCAUGGCCCUUACGGCCAGGGCUACACACGUGCUACAAUGGUCGGUACAAAGGGUUGCUACCUAGCGAUAGGAUGCUAAUCUCAAAAAGCCGAUCGUAGUCCGGAUUGGAGUCUGCAACUCGACUCCAUGAAGUCGGAAUCGCUAGUAAUCGCGGAUCAGAAUGCCGCGGUGAAUACGUUCCCGGGCCUUGUACACACCGCCCGUCACACCAUGGGAGUUUGUUGCACCAGAAGUAGCUAGCCUAACUGCAAAGA